ACACCAAUGGUGAAGCGGUUAUCAUGCUUGCCUUCCAUAGAAAGCCUUCUUAAGAUGUAGCAAGCGGCAGGGGUUCGACUCCCCUUUGGUGUA